UAAAACAGUAAAGAAUAAUUCUAUGUUCCCCUGGACUUUGAAGAGGGCACAAGCAUCUCUAUCUGCUGGCUGUCAUGACUGCUCAGCCCCUAUUUCCUACUCAUUUUUCACAUCAUCUCACCUCGAAUUUCUCACAUUUCCCACUUAGCCGGACAUCUUGCUGCUCAGUGGCUUCAUACCUCUCACAGCUUGAGUCCGUGAUGGCCGUCCGGGGCUGGCAGGCUGACACACGAGUGCCAGAUACUUCCCUACUGCUCUGGAGGCCAGUCCGCUGGAGGUGGAAUCCACUUGUUUGUCAUGAUAAACAUAUUUAUGGCAGAAACCUAUAUUUCAUCUUUGACUCUCGAACAGCCAGGCACUGAACUUGACGGACAGUAAGGGCUACAAGAUGUGUGUUGAAUGGAUUCAUGAAUGAGGCCAAAAUCAAGAACACUCCAGACAAGGCCUGGUUGACCCUCCUGUGCUGUUCCUUGGAUUUAUGUCACUGCAUGUCAACAUCCUGGACUUGGGCUGAGAGUCUCUGGGUGACUUCAGCUCUUGUUUGAUUAUUCAGACCACCGGGCCGUGUGCCAGGAGCUCACGACAGCCAGCUUCUGCUGUUGAAGAGGAACCUUGGCGAACCCCAGAACACCCAAAGCCUUCUAGAUGGGACAG